UGGACUGUGGUCUGUGUUGGAUGUUGCUGUUCAGUCUGUGUCCUGUGUCUGCUCUCCUCUCCUCUCUCCUCUCCUCCACCUGUGUCUACUCCUUCUGCAGAACAACAGCUCCAACUGAGACUCAGGUUCCUCUGAACAGGACGACCAGCAGGGGAAGUGACAGCAGAGAGCAGACUACAGUCAGAUACCUACGCAUCCAUUAAAUCCAGCAUUUUGAGACUGAAAGCAUCCAUCAAUUCCAGCAGAGUGAGACCCAUUACCACCCAUCAAUACCAGCAGAGUGAGACCCAUUACCAGCCAUCAAUACCAGCAGAGUGAGACCCAUUACCAGCCAUCAAUACCAGCAGAG